UUGAACGCUGGCGGAAUGCUUUACACAUGCAAGUCGAACGGCAGCACGGGGGCAACCCUGGUGGCGAGUGGCGAACGGGUGAGUAAUACCUAGGAACAUGUCCAGUAGUGGGGGAUAACGCAGCGAAAGCUGUGCUAAUACCGCAUACGCCCUGAGGGGGAAAGUGGGGGAUCGCAAGACCUCACGUUAUUCGAGCGGCCGACGUCUGAUUAGCUAGUUGGUGGGGUAAAGGCUCACCAAGGCGACGAUCAGUAGCGGGUCUGAGAGGAUGAUCCGUCACACUGGAACUGAGACACGGUCCAGACUCCUACGGGAGGCAGCAGUGGGGAAUUUUGGACAAUGGGGGCAACCCUGAUCCAGCCAUUCCGCGUGAGUGAAGAAGGCCUUCGGGUUGUAAAGCUCUUUCAGCCGGAACGAAACGGUACGCUCUAACAUAGCGUGCUAAUGACGGUACCGGCAGAAGAAGCACCGGCUAACUACGU
rnacentral:rRNA from 1 species